UACGGGGGGGGCAAGCGUUGUUCGGAAUUACUGGGCGUAAAGGGUGCGUAGGCGGUCUGUUAAGUUGGAUGUGAAAACUCUGGGCUCAACCCAGAGCCUGCAUCCAAAACUGGCAGGCUAGAGUUCUGGAGGGGGUAGCGGAAUUCCUGGUGUAGUGGUGAUAUGCGUAGAUAUCGGGAGGAACACCAGUGGCGAAGGCGGCUUUCUGGGCAUUUCCUGACGCUGAGACGCGAAAGCGUGGGGAGCGAACCGG
rnacentral:rRNA from 1 species